GCUAGAGGGAAGUUGGCAAGCAGAAAUACAGAAGCGAAACACUGAAAGAGAGGGAAUUUUUACAGAUUGUUCUUAAGAUAACAUGUUCUGUUAUGGAGUUGGGUAAGCAUGACGGAACACUGCACACUCAACAGACCUUCCUGGCACAACAACAAGUACGUUCCUGGAACUCGAUGUCCCCCUGGUGAUCUGUAACAGAAGCAGACAAGUUGGGGCCCUAUUACAAAAUGGAGUAACUGUUGUUCAGUCUCACAGCUCCUGAACCCAAGGAGUCCAAAGUUUCCAGGCAGCAUCUGAAUGAUAGUUUGGUGGGAUAUUUGCUGUGCCCCCCCCCCAGCAAGAAUAUAGCACCUUUGGGGAUUGUGACUGCCAGUUCCACAGCUCAGAGUUGCAGGAAUGAGCAGCCUCACAACCUCCAGACUUCACAUAUCACAGGUGGUGCUCACCAUGUCUGCGCCAUGUAACAGGAAAAUGGCACAAGCUGAAAGGCCCCUACUGACAAGGUGAUGUCAUGCUUUCAGUGCAUUUCCUGUCUGUGAAUACCACAAUAAGAUUGCAACAAGAACUCGGAGCUCAUUCAUCAAUAAUUGUUGAGAUGAACUUCAGUUUAUCAUUUAUCGGAACAAAAAAUCUAUAAUUUAUUCUUGUGCCUAGAAAAUCAAGCUGUCUGUGACUCGGCGGUCUAUGCUGGAGAGUAAGAGCCAAAGUAUGAGGUGAGU